rnacentral:rRNA from 1 species
AGUGAACGCUGGCGGUAGGCCUAACACAUGCAAGUCGAACGGCAGCACAGUAAGAGCUUGCUCUUACGGGUGGCGAGUGGCGGACGGGUGAGGAAUACAUCGGAAUCUACUUUUUCGUGGGGGAUAGCGUAGGGAAACUUACGCUAAUACCGCAUACGACCUACGGGUGAAAGCAGGGGAUCUUCGGACCUUGCGCGAUUGAAUGAGCCGAUGUCGGAUUAGCUAGUUGGCGGGGUAAAGGCCCACCAAGGCGACGAUCCGUAGCUGGUCUGAGAGGAUGAUCAGCCACACUGGAACUGAGACACGGUCCAGACUCCUACGGGAGGCAGCAGUGGGGAAUAUUGGACAAUGGGCGCAAGCCUGAUCCAGCCAUACCGCGUGGGUGAAGAAGGCCUGCGGGUUGUAAAGCCCUUUUGUUGGGAAAGAAAAGCAGCAGGUUAAUACCCCGCUGUUCGGACGGUACCCAAAGAAUAAGCACCGGCUAACUUCGU